rnacentral:rRNA from 1 species
UCAGCUCACUGGACAGAUACUGACGCUAANGCGCGAAAGCGUGGGGAGCAAACAGGAUUAGAUNCNNGGUAGNCCACGCCGUAAACGAUGAUCACUAGGUGUUGGGGGUCGAACCUCAGCGCCCAAGCUAACGCGAUAAGUGAUCCGCCUGGGGAGUACGCACGCAAGUGUGAAACUCAAAGGAAUUGACGGGGACCCGCACAAGCGGUGGAGCAUGUGGUUUAAUUCGACGCAACGCGAGAAACCUUACCAGCGUUUGACAUCCUAAGAAGUUUCCAGAGAUGGAUUCGUGCCGGCUUGCCGGAACUUAGUGACAGGUGGUGCAUGGCUGUCGUCAGCUCGUGUCGUGGGAUGUUGGGUUAAGUCCCACAACGAGCGCAACCCCUAUUGUAUGUUGCUACCAUUAAGUUGAGCACUCAUGCGAUACUGCCUGCGAUGAGCAGGAGGAAGGUGGGGAUGACGUCAAGUCAUCAUGCCCCUUAUACGCUGGGCUACACACGUGCUACAAUGGGCAGUACAGAGAGUUGCCAACCCGCGAGGGUGAGCUAAUCUCUUAAAGCUGUUCUUAGUUCGGAUUGUACUCUGCAACUCGAGUACAUGAAGUUGGAAUCGCUAGUAAUCGCAAAUCAGCAUGUUGCGGUGAAUACGUUCUCGGGUCUUGUACACACCGCCCGUCACACCACGAGAGUUGGUUGCACCUGAAGUAGCAGGCCUAACCGUAAGGAGGGAUGUUCCUAAGGUGUGAUUAGCGAUUGGGGUG